GUGUGUGUGUCAACAGCUUCGUGCGAAAACACUUUCCACAGCUCGUGAUCCUGGUGAGUGACCCUCCACAGAUGCCGGCCCUCAAGCUAUCCCCACUCUCUGUGAUAUUUGUGUCUCCGCGCAUUCCAGUUUCCCCAUACGUGCAAAAGUGCUUGUGAUCAGAGGAUUUUGCCAAAUGCACCAAGUAAAACACUUCUGAAGGUCAUCAUUACCUGCCUUGGUCAAACUACUGCUGGAUGAAUACCUCCCCUAAGCCAUUGAAAUUUCUCAUGAUUGCGAAAUUGUAAUAACCCACCUAGCACCUGCCCAUGAACAACUGUUAGAUGGGUUCCAUCUCAUUGCUGCAUUCUUGAUCAUCAGCCAUUAACCCUUAUAAUGACGUGUCCUGCCCGAGCCCACUUAAGUUUCUUAACUGUUUGUAUAAGAGUUCACUUAAGAAAAGGUUACGUGCAGUUUACAGAUGACACAGAGGAACAUGAGCAGCUGUUAAAUGUCAUUAUCUGUUUUUUGUUUUUGUCCUGCUGGCGGUUAUCAACAUCAUCACUUAUUGCUUCAAUCAUCUAUCUCUAACACCAUCUUUGACUAUCUUCGUCACACAUCUACCAUCAUUACCACAAUCAUCACUAUCAUCAUCAUUGCCACAAACACCACCACUAUUGCCGUCAUCUUCAUCCUGACCGCCAACAUCAUAAUGUAAUUUCAUCAUCACCAUGAUCCCUUUCACCAUAACUACUACUACCACAACAAUCAUUACCAUCUUUACCAUUAUCUUCAUCACCACGACUACUGUUACCAUAAUCAUGCUCACCACUAUAAUCAAUCACAAUCAUUAUCGCCAUGAUCUAUACCACUUUUUACAACCACUACCUUCACCAUUGUCACCAUCAGGAUGGGCAGAUGCUUACGCAGCUGCGAAGUUCUACGCCUGCGGUGCCCUCCACGCCUGCGGUGGUGCACAGAAUUGCGGAGAACAGCUGGCAGUUCCAGCAGUGUGCGAACACCCUCAUGGAACUGAACUGAGCAGGCGUCCGCCGCAGAUUGCUGGCGAUCUCGGCACACGUUCUCCUACCAACCCUUUCCUCCACAACCCUUGUAC